CUCAUGUGUUAGACUCCAGCCUCAAAAUGUUGGACCGGCUUGCUGCGUUGGGGUACUUUCCAAUUCUGCUUUUGGGGAAGAAACGGAGGAACAGCUACAGCGCUGAUGUCCUCACCAGCAUACAGAUGAAGCUGAAUGACCGAUUGGAGGAGAACCUCAAGGACAUUUUUUCCAAAAUUGUAAAUUUGCACUUCAAAAGGCCACAUUUUGUGACAAGAAGAUUCCAGGAAAGAGCAAGCCCCCAAAGAAACUCAAUAUGUGGUGCUUGACAUCGUUCCUGUGCCUGUGGAUGGUGCCAAUGUGGCUGAAGAGACAACAGAAGACAG